AUUGAACGCUGGCGGCAUGCCUUACACAUGCAAGUCGAACGGUAACAGGUCUUCGGAUGCUGACGAGUGGCGAACGGGUGAGUAAUACAUCGGAACGUGCCCGAUCGUGGGGGAUAACGGAGCGAAAGCUUUGCUAAUACCGCAUACGAUCUACGGAUGAAAGCAGGGGACCGCAAGGCCUUGCGCGGACGGAGCGGCCGAUGGCAGAUUAGGUAGUUGGUGGGAUAAAAGCUUACCAAGCCGACGAUCUGUAGCUGGUCUGAGAGGGCGACCAGCCACACUGGGACUGAGACACGGCCCAGACUCCUACGGGAGGCAGCAGCGGGGAAUUUUGGACAAUGGGCGAAAGCCUGAUCCAGCCAUGCCGCGUGCAGGAUGAAGGCCUUCGGGUUGUAAACUGCUUUUGUACGGAACGAAAAGACUCUUUCUAAUAAAGAGGGUCCAUGACGGUACCGUAAGAAUAAGCACCGGCUAACUACGUGCCAGCCGCCGCAGUAA
rnacentral:rRNA from 1 species